rnacentral:lncRNA from 1 species
CUUUCACCUCAGGGACUUUCUACAGCUCAUUACUCACCCUUAUUCAUGGCAGUCUAAGGAUUCUGGUUUUAUUUAUUUUUUUUGGUGGGGUUGGGGGUGAGGGGAGAGAUAAAUCUGUUUUUGAUUGAUCACAGUUUCAUGUAGGCCAAUUGCCUCUUGUUUUCCCCCAGGACUAGUGGGGUAGAGAAUUUUUAAUUCUUCUUCCAGAUUGGGCAGAGAUUUUCUUCUUUUUUAUGCCAGUUACCAGCUAUGUAAUCUUGGGGAUUUCACCCUUCCUUAACUAUAAAAAGAAGACUUCUUGGGCCAGGCCGGUGGCUCACGCCUGUAGUCCCAGCACUUUGGGAAGCCGAGGCGGAUGGAUCACGAGGUCAGGAGAUCGAGACCAGACUGGCCAACAUGGUGAAACCCCGUCUCUAACAAAAAUAGAAAAAUCAGCUGGGCAUGGUGGUGCAUGCCUGUAGUCCCAGCUACUUGGGAAGCUGAGGCAGGAGAAUUGCUUGAACCUGGGAGGUGGAGGUUGCAGUAAACCGAGAUCGUGCCACUGCACUCCAGCCUGGUGACAGAGCAAGAGUCCGUCUGAAAAAAAAAAAAGACUUCUUAAUAAAAAACAGGCAUACCUCAUUUUACUGCACUUCACUUUUUUUGUGCUUCACAGAUAUUGCUUUUUUUUUUUUUUUUUUUUUUUUUUACAAAUGGAAGGUUUGUGUGGUAACCCUUCAUUCAGCAAGUCCAUUGGUGCCAUUUAUCCAAGAGCAUGUGCUCACCUUGCGUCUCUAUGUUACAUUUUGGUAAUUCUUACAAUAUUUAAAAAUUUUCACUAUGAUUAUAUCUGUGAUGGUGGUCUGUGAUCAGUGAUCUUUGAUGUUCCUAUUGUAAUUGUUUUAGGGCACCACCAACUGCAUUCAUAUAGGACGGUGCACUUAAUUGGUAAAUACUGUGUGUAUUCUAACUGCUCCACCAAUCAGGUGUUGCCUCAUCUUUCUCCUGCUCCUUGGACUCUCAAUUCCCUCAGACACAACAGUGUUGAAAUUAGACCAAUUAAUAUCCCUACAAUGGCCUCUAAGUGUUGAAGUGAAAGAAAGAGUUUCAUGUUUCUCACUUUAAAUAAAAAGCUAGAUAUGAUUAAGCUUAGUGAGUGUAUUAGUCUGUUCUCAUGUUGCUAAUAGAGACAUACCUGAGACUGGGUAAUUUAUAAAGAAAAGAGGUUUAAUGGACUCACCACUCCACAUGAUUGGGGAGACCUCACAGUGAUGGUGAAAGACGAAGGAAGAGCAAAGAGACAUCUUACAUGGUGUCAGGCAGAGAGAGCUUGUGUAGGGGAACUCCCUUUUAUAAAAC